rnacentral:tmRNA from 1 species
GGGGUCGUUAUGGAUUCGACAUGUAUAGGUCGAACCUGGAUUGCGUUUCGUAGCGGGAAUCUACGUCAUCACUUCCCACCUAAAUUUAUAACUGCAAAUAACAGUAAUAAAUCUCUUGCAUUAGCUGCCUAAUAAGCGCUAAGUGAGGAUCCUCCUAACUUUGUCCAUGGGUUAGAUCUGGGUCUCAAAAUUAAGUGGACUUACGCUAGUUGCUCCCACCUGAAGUGACUAGAAGAGACUAAUCAGGUUAGCUAAUCACGGUUGCCCUGACAUAUGGCGUUUUGAUUGGUGAAGUUAAAUAAUAUGCCUAUGAGCGUAGAUAUCCGGGUGGCGAUAUGCUUGGACGCGGGUUCGACUCCCGCCGACUCCAUUU